AAUGAACAUUGGCGGCGUGGAUUAGGCAUGCAAGUCGAGCGGUAAGGCCCUUCGGGGUACACGAGCGGCAAACGGGGUAGUCAUACGUGGGAACGUACCUUCCAGACCGGGAUAGCCAUGGGAAACUGUGGGUAAUACCGGAUAAUCUCUUCGGAGCAAAUGGUUUUCCGCUGGAAGAGCGGCUCACGCGAUACUAGGUAGUUGGUAAGGUAAUGGCUUACCAAGCCUGUGAUGUCCAGGGGGUGUGAGAGCAUGGCCCCCACCACCGGAACUGAGACACUGUCCGGACACCUACGGGUGGCUGCAGUCGAGAAUCUUCCACAAUGGGCGCAAGCCUGAUGGAGCGACGCCGCGUGCGGGACGACGGCCUUCGGGUUGUAAACCGCUGUCAGAGAGGAGCAAAGCUGAUUUACUUCAGUUUGAGCGAGUCUCAAAGGAAGCACAGGCUAAGUACG
rnacentral:rRNA from 1 species